GUCUCCCCAACGUCAUUGCGCCGGUUCCACUGUGGAUAGUUGCCCCAGGACAGGGAGCAGAGGCAACCCUGCAGCUCCUCAUCCUCCUCCAGCUGCUGGGACCAGGCCUCAGCAUCAUCCUCUGGAACAGAGCCGAGCCCACUCCAGAACCUUCUUCUCC